GAUGAACGCUGGCGGCGUGCCUAAUACAUGCAAGUCGAGCGAACAGACGAGGAGCUUGCUCCUCUGACGUUAGCGGCGGACGGGUGAGUAACACGUGGAUAACCUCCCUAUAAGACUGGGAUAACUUCGGGAAACCGGAGCUAAUACCGGAUAAUAUAUUGAACCGCAUGGUUCAAUAGUGAAAGACGGUUUUGCUGUCACUUAUAGAUGGAUCCGCGCCGCAUUAGCUAGUUGGUAAGGUAACGGCUUACCAAGGCAACGAUGCGUAGCCGACCUGAGAGGGUGAUCGGCCACACUGGAACUGAGACACGGUCCAGACUCCUACGGGAGGCAGCAGUAGGGAAUCUUCCGCAAUGGGCGAAAGCCUGACGGAGCAACGCCGCGUGAGUGAUGAAGGUCUUCGGAUCGUAAAACUCUGUUAUUAGGGAAGAACAAAUGUGUAAGUAACUAUGCACGUCUUGACGGUACCUAAUCAGAAAGCCACGGCUAACUACGUG
rnacentral:rRNA from 1 species